rnacentral:rRNA from 1 species
CCAUUGGAGUCUAAAAGGCCGCGGUAUUAUGACCGUGCUAAGGUAGCAUAAUCAUUAGUCUUUUAAUUGAAGGCUGGAAUGAAUGGUUGGACAAGAAAUAAACUGUCUUAAAUGAAAAUAUUGAAUUUAACUUUUAAGUGAAAAGGCUUAAAUUUUCUAAAGGGACGAUAAGACCCUAUAAAACUUUAUAUUUAAAAAUAAUAGUUAAUUUUAUAUGGGAGAUUUCUUUUUAAAUAUUUUAUUGGGGUGAUAAGGAUAAAAUAUAAGAUAACUGUCUUUUUUUAUUUACAAUAAUAUUUGAGUAAAUGAUCUUGGUAAGAAAACAAGAGAUUAAGUUACUUUAGGGAUAACAGCGUAAUUUUCUUUAAGAGUUCUUAUC